UUCCUAGGAAGCUGAUGCUUACAACAAUGGAGAUUAGCAAUACCUGGACAGAGUUGAGCUUCAAAGGAUACUGAGAAAUAGCUAAAGCAGGUGAUAAAGAAAAAAUGAGGAAAUGCUGUGAAGAACUAAUAGAACGUUUCAGAAGCAGAACAAGUCGAGAGCAGUGAUGACCCUUUUGUUCCUGCUAGUACCUCCUGUCUGUCUGGCCGAACUCACCAUCAGAUGAUGUCUUGAACCUCACCUAGAUGGGCUGGUGGUGUGUGGCCAGGUUAAGAGCACCAACAGGAGUAAGAAAGUGACCUGCCUGGUUUUACCGUGUGUACUAGGGGAGGGGUUGAAAGCUUUCGGUUGAUACAUCACCUCUGGGAGUUGAAGAAGAAUGCAAUUAAGAGAGCUAAAGAAGUCAGUAGGUAUCUCUCCUGAACAAUUCUGGUUUUCUUCUAAUAGCUUUUACAAUUUUUACCUCUGUUAUGAAAUGCAAACUUUUAACCAAUAUUAGUAAUAGUAAUCUCAAAUCUCAUCAUCAUCAAAAUCUUAUUUAUGAAAUAUAGGAGUUAGUUCAUAUACAGCCUUAGCCUUUUCCACAUUAUAAAAUAUAUUCCAUAUAUAUGUGUGAUCUUCAUUUAAUAUUCAAGUAAAUGUUGUAAGAUAUUGUUAUUUUUAUUCUAACAUUUCACAGGUAUAGAAUCUGAAACUCAGAGGUCAACUGAUGUGUCAAAGAUACCUCCACAAAUCAGUACCUUGAUUAAAACUAAAAUUGGAGUCAUCUUCAUAUCUCCAUCUUUCUCCCUCUUCAUUAGGACCGAUUGUAGUCUGUUUCCCUCUCACUCACUUGCAAUCUUUAUUGCUUUAGUGUUGCAUUUGAUUUUUAUCUUUGUUUUUGUUUUAAAUACUGUCAUUAAAGUCAUAGAAAAAUCUAAAAUAAAACUGGUUGAAUAAAAAUUUUAAAAUCGACUCUAAUGUAAUAAACCAGACAAAAAUGAUACUUUAAAUGUUAUAUCUUCCCUUUAAACUACAAAUAUUCAUUGAGUGUAUACCCUGUAUUAGGCUGUUGGAAUAAAACAGGGAAGAAGACAGAAGAAACUGCACCGCCAUCUUAGAUCUUGCAGCCAAAUUCCUCUGAACUUUUCUCUAAAGACGUGCUCUGGAAAAAUGUUGAUCAUUUUCCUACAUCAUGGAGGUCUUUUCAUGACCACCUUUGUCUAGACAAUGUCCUGUUUUUAGGUGCACGUUUGAGGGCUGGAGUCUCUGACCCACAGUGCUGCAGCCUGCACGUGGUUUGUCCUGACUUCUUUGCUACUUCACUUUUCGUAAGGCUCUGAGAGUGCAGG
rnacentral:lncRNA from 10 species